UGGACAUGAGUUCCUCAAAAACCAUCUUUUUUUAGCAGAUAGAUUGGUGUUUUAGUAGAAUUUUUUUAAAUUGAGAAAAAAAGUUUUUACUAGGAAGUACAUGUAUGAAUGUAAAGCCAAAAAUAUACUACAAGUAAGAAUGCAUGGUCACCGUCUAUAUUUAUCUCUUAUCAUAGUGGAAAUUAAACUAAAAGAGAAUCAAUUACGGGAUCAGAGAAGAUCGAAACACAAGCUUAUGUGAAUGAUCGUCGACAAGUUUAACAAUUUCUUAUAAAUUGAUAUAUAAACUGAGUUACACUUUUCAAAUUGCUUCUUGCUCAAAUAAAGUAUCUUUUAAAACAGGUCAAUUUGAUUAAAAAAAUUGUCAUUAUAAUUUGAAAAAUAUGGCUGUUUCAGGAAAAAAAAAUAAAUACAACACAUACGAUUUGCAAAAGCAGAAAAUAUACGUAACAGGCAAAUGCACAUAAUUAUCUAUAAGAUACAAAUCAUUUAUAUCAGAUGUAGAGAUCUACAACACACAUAUAUUAAGAAACACAAAAACUAUCCGUGGGCGUUAUGUGCUUGUACUCCAGUUUGAUUUGGAUUAUAGUUGUUCUCCCAGUUUCAAUCGGUCAUUCAUGUGAUGAUAGACAAGAUGUUAAGGAUGUGGACCGUUGUCCAGAAACUAUCGAUGAAUGGAAUGCGACAGCUGAAAAAAAGAAUUGCCAGUAUGUUCAUGACGACUGCCCAGUUACAGUUGCAGAAUACAAGCUUGUGUAUCACUGUGUUAAAGUCAGAAAUCAACCUAAAUUUGUGGAAUUAUGUUCCAAAGUUUG